ACGUUUUUAGUUUAAUUUUGGAUAAAACAUCAAUCUUCUAAAUUGAAUAUUAAAGGUUCAAAUCCUUUAAAACGUA
rnacentral:tRNA from 1 species